AAAUUCUUGGGAGUCCUGACAGUAUUUUUCAAGAUCCUAUCCCACUCCAAUGCAGACUAUACAGAGGUUUCUCACUGCUAUAUUGCUGUAAUUCCCCUUUUCCCUGACGGUGGAUUGAGUUAGGAGGAGACAGAAAUCAUAGCUGAGGUUUUUAGAACACCUUUUAUUGAUUAAGCAGUUAAUAUCUUUAAGCUGUAAUUAUUAAUAGUAGGUAUAUCAGCUCUCACAAUAUAUUUCCCUAUUCCUGCAGACAGGUAGUCACAAGCACAGUCAUUCACAGCUGCCUGGUUGGAGCUGUAGCUGGGAUUCCAAUACCAGCUGGAUACUCAAAAGAAGAGGAUCAGACCAGUGUCACGCCAGUGGCUUGCAAGUCAGUAAACAGUGAUCACAGACGCUGCCCAAACUUUCUGGCAGAUGUCUGAAGAAUAAGAUGAGCUUUCUCCAGUGGUUUAAAAAGUCUGAGCUCAAUUAUAUCAUGUUUGGAAUGAACUGCAGAACAUUUAUGGAAAUCACUUAGUCUCCAGCUAAUACUACAGUCCUUAAGUCGAACUGUUUUUAGGCCAAGAAUCAUCUCCUGAGGGAUGAAUGCAUUGCAGGUGCUGGAGAGCCAUUCAUCUAG
rnacentral:lncRNA from 1 species